GAUGAACGCUGGCGGCAUGCCUAACACAUGCAAGUCGAACGGAAGGGUCCUGUCGUUUGGUGGAGAUCGAGUGACGGACGGGCGAGUAACACGUAAAUAGCCUGUCCCUGAGUGGUGGAUAAUUUCAAGUAACAUGAGUAAAUACUAGAUAGUACUUCCUGAUGGAGUGUGAGGGUUGGCAAGUUUCGGCGGUUGGGGAUGGACUCGCGGCUCAUCAGCUCGUGGGUGGGGGAGUGGCUCACAAAGGGUUUGGCGGGUAGCCGGCCUGUGAGGGUGACCGGCCCCAUUACGACUAAGAUACGGCGCAGAGUGGUACGGGAGACAGCAGUGGGGAACAUUGCCCAAUCGAGCCAAGCCUGAUGCAGCAACGCCGCGUGUGGGAUGACAGCCUGCGGGUAGUGAACCGCAUUCGCCUGUUACGUGGCGUGGGUGACGGUACUGGAAGAAUAAGCACCGGCUAACUACGUG
rnacentral:rRNA from 1 species